rnacentral:rRNA from 1 species
UACGUAGGGUGCGAGCGUUAAUCGGAAUUACUGGGCGUAAAGCGUGCGCAGGCGGUUCGCUAAGACCGAUGUGAAAUCCCCGGGCUUAACCUGGGAACUGCAUUGGUUACUGGCGGGCUAGAGUAUGGCAGAGGGGGGUAGAAUUCCACGUGUAGCAGUGAAAUGCGUAGAGAUGUGGAGGAAUACCGAUGGCGAAGGCAGCCCCCUGGGCCAAUACUGACGCUCAUGCACGAAAGCGUGGGGAGCAAACAGG